GAUGAACGCUGGCGGCGUGCCUAAUACAUGCAAGUCGAGCGAACGGACGAGAAGCUUGCUUUUCUGAUGUUAGCGGCGGACGGGUGAGUAACACGUGGAUAACCUACCUAUAAGACUGGGAUAACUUCGGGAAACCGGAGCUAAUACCGGAUAAUAUUUUGAACCGCAUGGUUCAAAAGUGAAAGACGGUCUUGCUGUCACUUAUAGAUGGAUCCGCGCUGCAUUAGCUAGUUGGUAAGGUAACGGCUUACCAAGGCAACGAUGCAUAGCCGACCUGAGAGGGUGAUCGGCCACACUGGAACUGAGACACGGUCCAGACUCCUACGGGAGGCAGCAGUAGGGAAUCUUCCGCAAUGGGCGAAAGCCUGACGGAGCAACGCCGCGUGAGUGAUGAAGGUCUUCGGAUCGUAAAACUCUGUUAUUAGGGAAGAACAUAUGUGUAAGUAACUGUGCACAUCUUGACGGUACCUAAUCAGAAAGCCACGGCUAACUACGUGCCAGCAGCCGCGGUAAUACGUAGGUGGCAAGCGUUAUCCGGAAUUAUUGGGCGUAAAGCGCGCGUAGGCGGUUUUUUAAGUCUGAUGUGAAAGCCCACGGCUCAACCGUGGAGGGUCAUUGGAAACUGGAAAACUUGAGUGCAGAAGAGGAAAGUGGAAUUCCAUGUGUAGCGGUGAAAUGCGCAGAGAUAUGGAGGAACACCAGUGGCGAAGGCGACUUUCUGGUCUGUAACUGACGCUGAUGUGCGAAAGCGUGGGGAUCAAACAGGAUUAGAUACCCUGGUAGUCCACGCCGUAAACGAUGAGUGCUAAGUGUUAGGGGGUUUCCGCCCCUUAGUGCUGCAGCUAACGCAUUAAGCACUCCGCCUGGGGAGUACGACCGCAAGGUUGAAACUCAAAGGAAUUGACGGGGACCCGCACAAGCGGUGGAGCAUGUGGUUUAAUUCGAAGCAACGCGAAGAACCUUACCAAAUCUUGACAUCCUUUGACAACUCUAGAGAUAGAGCCUUCCCCUUCGGGGGACAAAGUGACAGGUGGUGCAUGGUUGUCGUCAGCUCGUGUCGUGAGAUGUUGGGUUAAGUCCCGCAACGAGCGCAACCCUUAAGCUUAGUUGCCAUCAUUAAGUUGGGCACUCUAAGUUGACUGCCGGUGACAAACCGGAGGAAGGUGGGGAUGACGUCAAAUCAUCAUGCCCCUUAUGAUUUGGGCUACACACGUGCUACAAUGGACAAUACAAAGGGCAGCGAAACCGCGAGGUCAAGCAAAUCCCAUAAAGUUGUUCUCAGUUCGGAUUGUAGUCUGCAACUCGACUACAUGAAGCUGGAAUCGCUAGUAAUCGUAGAGCAGCAUGCUACGGUGAAUACGUUCCCGGGUCU
rnacentral:rRNA from 1 species